rnacentral:rRNA from 1 species
UACGUAGGGGGCAAGCGUUGUCCGGAAUCAUUGGGCGUAAAGAGCGUGUAGGCGGCCCGGUAAGUCCGCUGUGAAAGUCGAGGGCUCAACCCUCGAAUGCCGGCGGAUACUGUCGGGCUAGAGUCCGGAAGAGGCGAGUGGAAUUCCUGGUGUAGCGGUGAAAUGCGCAGAUAUCAGGAGGAACACCUACGGCGAAGGCAGCUCGCUGGGACGGUACUGACGCUGAGGCACGAAGGCCAGGGGAGCAAACGGG